rnacentral:lncRNA from 1 species
CUCAUGAGGUGUAUAUGUUCUAUAUCUUUCAGAAAUCUGAGGAGGAGGAGAAAUAUUUCUCUUUUCCUUCUCUAAAGAAUAAUCCUGAUUGGUGCAGGUAAGGUCACAUCCUUCAACCAUUCAUUGAGACCAGGAGAAUCAGAUGCUAUGAUUCAUGCAAUGUGGGAUAAGUAUCUGUAUUAGGGCUGAAUGGGGCCAUAGGAAUUUUAUCAUAAAGAGAAUGGGUGUGGGUUUUAUUUUUCAGACAUGUCCACCAAUAGUCAUUUUGAGCCAUAUAAUCCCAAAGUAAGGAUAAAAGUGUAGGUUGGAGUGUUAAUUUGGACAUCUUCAUAGAGGAGUCAAGAUAUCAGAUGCCAGAUUAAGUGAGAGACAGACCAUAUGCAAAAUUAUCAAUGAAAAAUAUUAAGAACUGGUUCCAUAAUUUUUAAUCCUCUUAGAUACUUUAUGAAUAUAAAAGUAUAAGGAAAGUGGAAAGGAGAGGAGGGUUUGCAAGAUUUCUUUGAGGAGAGCAGAUGCCUUGUAAAUCUGCAUGUUUUACCCCAAGGUGGGUCCCUAACCCCUGAAAUUAUGGGGAUGUUUGUGCUGCCAGCUUCCUGGUAAGCUUUGCUGGUAUAAGGACAGGUUGAGAAAGAAAGUUGCUGCUAUUUGGGGAAUUAAUGGUGGUCCUCUAAAAUGGCUGGUCAAAGUUACAUGGAAUCCAGGGAACAGAUAUAGAGUCACUGAUAGAAAUUUUGGCCUGAAGUUGUUUCUGUCACAGUGUAAAAGGCCACAAAAGUGAGUUUGUGGGGGGGGUGAGCAUAGAAGAACCAGAGAUAUAGGGAGAAUAGGGGAUGUCUUGCUGGAGGCAUAUCCCCAUUAACAUAGGAGUUGAAGCCAGACUGGGUGAUAGUCUCCAGUCCUGUUUACCCAUAUUCAGUGCCUCUCCUUGCAGGAGGAUUAUAAAUUCCUGCCCUGUUGAACUCCAUGUGGCCAACAAAAGGCUAUUGGUGUCCAUGUAUGAAAGGUGUGUGGCAGCGGCAGGAGAGGAGAGGGAGCUGGUAGGGAUGGAGCCCUCGUGUGUGGAGAAGAGAAACAAGAUUAACCUCAUUCCUAGAGAGUAUGUGUGCCUCUUCACCACAAAAAGAAAAAUCAGUUCAUUGAUUAGGUGAGUGUCAAUCCUUGCGAUCCAACCUUUUGGGAGUCACAAGUUGAGUGGUUAUUUGGGUAUUUUUCUUCUUGUCUGUAUAUUGCAAAAGCUUUAGUGUACCCAGAUUUCCAGGUUAACUCUACAAGAAUUUACUACAUCAGUGUCACUCAACAUGGGGUUGAAGGAUGCACAUGGGUCCUAGAACUGUUUGUUAGUAAUUCAGGAUGAGAUAAGGAGUUGGAGCCAGAAUGUCAGUCAGCCAAGUUGCUAAGUACAUUGUUUAGUUCACCUGAUGCUUUUUAUGUAGCAAGACUUUCUUGAUUAUUUCUGGAGUGCUGUUAAUAAACAGUUCAAAGACAGACAACUCUGAGUAUUAAUGUUAAAUAUGUAAAAACAUUUAAGUGCUUGAUGUGAAAAAUGAG